rnacentral:rRNA from 1 species
CUGGUUGAUCCUGCCAGUAGUCAUAUGCUUGUCUUAAAGACUAAGCCAUGCAUGUCUAAGUAUAAGCACUUGUACUGUAAAACUGCGAAUGGCUCAUUAAAUCAGUUAUAAUUUAUUUGAUGGUAAAUACCACUUGGAUAACCGUGGUAAAACUAGAGCUAAUACAUGCGUAAAAACCUAACUGGGAACGGAAAGGUUGUAUUUAUUAGAUACAAAACCAAUACUAUUUAUUAAAGCAAUUUAAUAAAUAGUUUAAAUAUUGGUGAUUCAUAGUAAUUUAACUAAUCGUAUAGUCUUAGUACUGACGAUAGUUCAUUCAAAUAUCUGCCCUAUCAACUUUCGAUGGUAGUAUAGAGGACUACCAUGGUGGUAACGGGUAACGGAGAAUCAGGGUUUGAUUCCGGAGAAGGAGCCUGAGAAACGGCUACUACUUCCAAGGAAGGCAGCAGGCGCGCAAAUUACCCAAUCCCAACAUGGGGAGGUAGUGACAAUAAAUAACAAUACUAAAUUUGUAAUAAAAUUUAGUAAUUGGAAUGAGUACAAUCUAAAUCUCUUAACGAGUAUCAAUUGGAGGGCAAGUCUGGU